GACAGAGGGUGCAAACGUUGUUCGGAAUUACUGGGCGUAAAGAGUGUGUAGGCGGUGUUCCAAGUCUGGUGUGAAAUCUCCCGGCUUAACUGGGAGGGUGCAUUAGAAACUGGAAUGCUAGAGGAUGGGAGAGGUAAGCGGAAUUCCUGGUGUAGCGGUGAAAUGCGUAGAUAUCAGGAGGAACACCUGUGGUGUAGACAGCUUACUGGACCAUUUCUGACGCUGAGACACGAAAGCGUGGGUAGCAAACAGG
rnacentral:rRNA from 1 species